rnacentral:rRNA from 1 species
UGGGGAAUAUUGCGCAAUGGGGGAAACCCUGACGCAGCGACGCCGCGUGAGCGAUGAAGGCCUUAGGGUUGUAAAGCUCUGUUUUAGGGGACGAAUGUCCAUUUCAGUAAUAUGGGAGUGGAAUGACGGUACCCUAAGAGGAAGCCCCGGCUAACUACGUGCCAGCAGCCGCGGUAAGACGUAGGGGGCGAGCGUUGUCCGGAAUUACUGGGCGUAAAGAGCACGUAGGCGGGAACUUAAGUCAGGUGUGAAAGACCGGGGCUCAACUCCGGGAUUGCACUUGAAACUGGGUUUCUUGAGGGCAGGAGAGGAAAGCAGAAUUCCUGGUGUAGCGGUGAAAUGCGUAGAAAUCAGGAGGAAUACCAGUGGCGAAGGCGGCUUUCUGGACUGACCCUGACGCUGAGGUGCGAAAGCGUGGGUAGCAAACA